rnacentral:rRNA from 1 species
GAUGAACGCUGGCGGCGUGCCUAAUACAUGCAAGUCGAGCGAACAGACGAGGAGCUUGCUCCUCUGACGUUAGCGGCGGACGGGUGAGUAACACGUGGAUAACCUACCUAUAAGACUGGGAUAACUUCGGGAAACCUGAGCUAAUACCGGAUAAUAUAUUGAACCGCAUGGUUCAAUAGUGAAAGACGGUUUUGCUGUCACUUAUAGAUGUAUCCGCGCCGCAUUAGCUAGUUGGUAAGGUAACGGCUUACCAAGGCAACGAUGCGUAGCCGACCUGAGAGGGUGAUCGGCCACACUGGAACUGAGACACGGUCCAGACUCCUACGGGAGGCAGCAGUAGGGAAUCUUCCGCAAUGGGCGAAAGCCUGACGGAGCAACGCCGCGUGAGUGAUGAAGGUCUUCGGAUCGUAAAACUCUGUUAUUAGGGAAGAACAAAUGUGUAAGUAACUAUGCACGUCUUGACGGUACCUAAUCAGAAAGCCACGGCUAACUACGUG